rnacentral:rRNA from 1 species
UACAAUGGACAAUACAAAGGGCAGCGAAACCGCGAGGUCAAGCAAAUCCCAUAAAGUUGUUCUCAGUUCGGAUUGUAGUCUGCAACUCGACUACAUGAAGCUGGAAUCGCUAGUAAUCGUAGAUCAGCAUGCUACGGUGAAUACGUUCCCGGGUCUUGUACACACCGCCCGUCACACCACGAGAGUUUGUAACACCCGAAGCCGGUGGAGUAACCUUUUAGGAGCUAGCCGUCGAAGGUGGGACAAAUGAUUGGGGUGAAGUCGUAACAAGGUAGCCGUAUCGGAAGGUGCGGCUGGAUCACCUCCUUUCUAAGGA